UACAGAGGGUGCGAGCGUUAAUCGGAAUUACUGGGCGUAAAGGGCGCGUAGGCGGUUGUUUAAGUUGGAUGUGAAAUCCCUGGGCUUAACCUAGGAACUGCAUCCGAAACUGGACAGCUGGAGUGCGGUAGAGGGUAGUGGAAUUUCCGGUGUAGCGGUGAAAUGCGUAGAUAUCGGAAGGAACACCAGUGGCGAAGGCGGCUACCUGGACUGACACUGACGCUGAGGCGCGAGAGCGUGGGGAGCAAACAGG
rnacentral:rRNA from 1 species